ACUUGAAUAGCUUAUGUAGAGCAUAACAUUGAAGAUGUUGUUGAGGUUAAAUUUGUACCUUCAGGUG
rnacentral:tRNA from 1 species